rnacentral:rRNA from 1 species
CAUGUAGGCGGCCUAUUAAGUCGGGCGUGAAAAUGCGGGGCUCAACCCCGUAUGGCGCCCGAUACUGGUGGGCUUGAGUGCAGGAGAGGAAAGGGGAGUUCCCAGUGUAGCGGUGAAAUGCGUAGAUAUUGGGAGGAACACCAGUGGCGAAGGCGCCUUUCUGGACUGUGUCUGACGCUGAGAUGCGAAAGCCAGGGGAGCGAACG